rnacentral:rRNA from 1 species
GACGAACGCUGGCGGCGUGCCUAACACAUGCAAGUCGAGCGGAGAUAAUCUGAAGUUUACUUUGGGUUGUCUUAGCGGCGGACGGGUGAGUAACGCGUGGGCAACCUGCCGUUCACAGGGGGAUAACACAGGGAAACUUGUGCUAAUACCGCAUAACACAGCGAGAUAGCAUUAUCUUGUUGUCAAAGGAGCAAUCCGGUGAAUGAUGGGCCCGCGUCCAAUUAGCUAGUUGGUGAUGUAAUGGACCACCAAGGCGACGAUUGGUAGCCGAACUGAGAGGUUGAUCGGCCACAUUGGGACUGAGACACGGCCCAGACUCCUACGGGAGGCAGCAGUGGGGAAUAUUGCACAAUGGGGGAAACCCUGAUGCAGCAACGCCGCGUGAAGGAUGAAGGUUUUCGGAUUGUAAACUUCUUUAGUCAGGGACGAAUAAAUGACGGUACCUGAAGAAUAAGCCACGGCUAACUACGUG